UACAGGGGGUGCAAACGUUGCUCGGAAUUAUUGGGCGUAAAGCGCGCGUAGGCGGCUACUUAAGUCGGAUGUGAAAGCCCUUGGCUCAACUGAGGAAGUGCACCCGAAACUGAGUGGCUAGAGUACGAAAGAGGGUCGCGGAAUUCCCGGUGUAGAGGUGAAAUUCGUAGAUAUCGGGAGGAACACCGGUGGCGAAGGCGGCGACCUGGGUCGAUACUGACGCUGAGACGCGAAAGCGUGGGGAGCAAACAGG
rnacentral:rRNA from 1 species